rnacentral:tRNA from 1 species
GUCUAUGUAGUAUAUAAAUUACACUGGUCUUGUAAACCAGAAAAGGGGAGUAACUUUCCCCCAAAGGCU